ACUCCUACGGGAGGCAGCAGUGGGAAUAUUGCACAAUGGGCGCAAGCCUGAUGCAGCCAUGCCGCGUGUGUGAAGAAGGCCUUCGGGUUGUAAAGCAACUUUUCAGUUGAUGAAGGAAAGGUUAGUCGCUAAUAUCGGCUAGCUGUGACGUUAGCAACAGAAGAAGCACCGGCUAACUCCGUGCCAGCAGCCGCGGUAAUACGGAGGGUGCGAGCGUUAAUCGGAAUUACUGGGCGUAAAGCGCGUGU
rnacentral:rRNA from 1 species